GGGGUGGAAGUGCAGUAAUGCAUGGAGCUGACCAAUACUAAUCGGUCGAGGGCUUAUCCUAAA
rnacentral:rRNA from 1 species